CUGCUGCCUUCCGUAGGAGUUUGGACCGUGUCUCAGUUCCAAUGUGGGGGACCUUCCUCUCAGAACCCCUAUCCAUCGAUGCCUUGGUGGGCCGUUACCCCGCCAACAAGCUAAUGGAACGCAUCCCCAUCGAUGACCGAAAUUCUUUAAUAGUUCUACCAUGCGGAAGAACUAUGCCAUCGGGUAUUAAUCUUUCUUUCGAAAGGCUAUCCCCGAGUCAUCGGCAGGUUGGAUACGUGUUACUCACCCGUGCGCCGGUCGCC
rnacentral:rRNA from 1 species